GAAUUAGGGUGACCCAUUCUUCUGGUUUGUCUGGGACUGAGGAGCUUUCCUGAGAUGGGACUCUAGUGCCAACCAUAAUGAGUCGGUC
rnacentral:miRNA from 1 species